GAUACCCUAUUAUUAAAAGUGUUAUUUUAUUCUGUAAUUAUUUUUAGUUAAGUUCUAUAAAAUUAAAAAAUUUGGCGGUAUUUUAGUCUGUUCAGAGGAACCUGUUUAUUAAUUGAUGAUCCACGAUAAUUGUUACCUUUUUUGAAAAUUUAUAUAUCGUCGUUAUUAAAAAUUUUAGGAGAAUUUAAAUUUUUAAUUUUUUUUAUUUUAAUUUAAUUCAGAUCAAGGUGUAGUUUAUAAAAAGGAUGGAAUGGGUUACAUUAUAUUUAUGUUUGGAUUUUAUUUUUAAAAUUUAAAUGAAAUUGGAUUUGAAAGUAAAUUGUUUAUUUUUGGUUUUUGAUUUAGCUCUAAAAUAUGCACACAUCGCC
rnacentral:rRNA from 1 species